UACGUAGGGUGCAAGCGUUGUCCGGAAUUAUUGGGCGUAAAGAGCGUGUAGGCGGCCCGGUUAGUCCGCUGUGAAAGUCCAGGGCUCAACCCUGGAAUGCCGGUGGAUACUGUCGGGCUAGAGUCCGGAAGGGGCGAGUGGAAUUCCUGGUGUAGCGGUGAAAUGCGCAGAUAUCAGGAGGAACACCGAUGGGCGAAGGCAGGUCUCUGGGCCGCAACUGACGCUGAGGAGCGAAAGCAUGGGGGAGCGAACAGG
rnacentral:rRNA from 1 species